UACGGAAGGCAGCAGUGGGGAAUAUUGCACAAUGGGCGCAAGCCUGAUGCAGCCAUGCCGCGUGUAUGAAGAAGGCCUUCGGGUUGUAAAGUACUUUCAGUCGUGAGGAAGGUGUUAAGGUUAAUAACCUUAGCAAUUGACGUUAGCGACAGAAGAAGCACCGGCUAACUCCGUGCCAGCAGCCGCGGUAAUACGGAGGGUGCGAGCGUUAAUCGGAAUUACUGGGCGUAAAGGGCACGCAGGCGGUUAAUUAAGUUGGAUGUGAAAUCCCCGGGCUUAACCUGGGAAUGGCAUUCAAGACUGGUUAGCUAGAGUCUUGUAGAGGGGGUAGAAUUCCAUGUGUAGCGGUGAAAUGCGUAGAGAUGUGGAGGAUACCGGUGGCGAAGGCGGCCCCUGGGACAAGACUGACGCUCAUGUGCGAAAGCGUGGGGAGCAAACAGGGAUUAGAUACC
rnacentral:rRNA from 1 species